rnacentral:rRNA from 1 species
UACGGGGGGAGCAAGCGUUGUUCGGAUUUACUGGGCGUAAAGGGCGCGUAGGCGGUCAGCACAAGUCAGUUGUGAAAUCUCCGGGCUUAACUCGGAAAGGUCAACUGAUACUGUGCGACUAGAGUGCAGAAGGGGCAACUGGAAUUCUUGGUGUAGAGGUGAAAUUCGUAGAUAUCGGGGAGGAACAUCAGUGGCGAAGGCGGCCAUCUGGACAGGUAUUGACGCUGAGGUGCGAAAGCGUGGGGAGCAAACAGG